ensembl:Mt_tRNA
AGCCUUAAGGUGAUACUCAUAUUGAAUUGCAAAUUCAAAGGUGUAGAUAACAGUUCUACUAAGGCUU